AUCUAUAAAAUUCCAUCAUAAUUACAAAUAAAAUCUGGCUAUAUUUUUAUUUAACAAAUUAAACGGAUGUAUUUUUCAAUUAUAAUUACAAAUUAUCCACGAACAAGGAACUUAGAUAACACCUUAGAUCAUCAAUACAUAAAUAAAAACUCGGCUCUUCUAUAAUGAAGCACAUUAGAUGCAAUUUUCAACUAGUACACACAAUGCAAGUCUUGUUUAAAAGUACAUUUCUUUUAGUGUCUUUAUUCGCAAUUUGUGAAGGAUUUGGCUUAUUUACUUGUCGUGAACACACCUGUGAUACCAUAACAUGUAAACCAAAUCCCAAAUGUGGUAAAAAUCAAAUCCUUGGUGACGGAUUUUGUAAAUGUUGCAAGGAAUGUCAUACCGUAUUGAGUGAGGGUGCCAAAUGCAGAAAUUUGAUGCUGAUAGGUGGAACACCGCAAUCAAUUUAUUGUGAUCCCAGACAAAAUUUAAAAUGUAAAAAUAAUAAAUGUGUUAAAAUUAGAGGUUGCAAAAAUCCCUUUAUAAGAUAAACAAUUCUAUAAAAUAAA